UACGGGAAGCAGCAGUAGGGAAUCUUCCACAAUGGGCGAAAGCCUGAUGGAGCAAUGCCAUGUGAAUGAUGAAGGCCUUAUUGGUCGUAAAGUUCUUUUAGGGGGGAAAACUCGGAUGGUACCCCCUGAAUAAGUGACAGCAAACUAUGUGCCAGCAGCUGCGGUAAUACAUAGGUCGCGAGCGUUAUUCGGAUUUAUUGGGCGUAAAGCAAGCGCAGGCGGAUGGAUAAGUUCUGUGUGAAAAGCAGCUGCUCAACAGCUGUUUGCGCCGAAUACUAUCCAUCUAGAAUACGGUAGGAAGUUUUGGAAUUGAAUAUGGAGCGGUGGAAUGUGUAGAUAUAUUCAAGAACACCAGAGGCGAAGGCGAAAACUUAGGCCGCUAUUGACGCUUAGGCUUGAAAGUGUGGGGAGCAAAUGGGAUUAGAUACCCCAGUAGUCCACACCGUAAACGAUGGGUAUUAAAUGUUGGGGCUGGUGCCUCAGCGUUGUAGCUUACGUGUUAAAUACCCCGCCUGGGUAGUACAUAUGCAAAUAUGAAACUCAAAGGAAUUGACGGGGACCUGAACAAGUGGUGGAACAUGUUGCUUAAUUCGAUAAUACACGAAAAACCUUACCAAGAUUUGACAUCCCUCGCGAAGCUUUAGAGAUAAAGUGAAGGUUAUCGAGGUGACAGGUGGUGCAUGGUUGUCGUCAGCUCGUGUCAUGAGAUGUUGGGUUAAGUCCCGCAACGAGCGCAACCCUACUCUCUAGUUGUUUGUUUAGAGAGACUGAACAGUAAUGUAUAGGAAGGUCGGGAUCACGUCAAAUCAUCAUGCCCCUUAUGUCUUGGGCCGCAAACGUGUUACAAUGGCGAGCACAGCGUGUCGCAAAUCAGCGAUGGUAAGCUAAUCACUAAAAACUCGUCUCAGUCCGGAUAAAAGGCUGCAAUUCGCCUUUUUGAAGUUGGAAUCACUAGUAAUCCCGUGUCAGCUAUAUCGGGGUGAAUACGUUCCCAGGUCUUGUACACA
rnacentral:rRNA from 1 species